rnacentral:lncRNA from 1 species
GCCUCUCUGAUGCAACUGAACUAUUGUAACUAGCCGAGAACAAUCAACAUCAAAAAAGGCACCCGCAUCUCUACAAUACUAGAAGACCAGUAGACUUAAUAUUUAAUGAGGAGAUUUAAGUUCAGAUCUCUUCUAAUUAGUCACAUACAUCUGAUAUAAUGACUAAUCUGAUUUGGGUCAGCACAUUUCAUGUCUGACCAACCUAGUC